UACAACCUUUUUUCUGGGCAAAAACAUGUACAUCAGAUUCACAGCUUAUUAUGUACAGAUUGCCUUUUCUGGACCUCACAGCCGCGGUCUACAAUGCCCCACAGCUGCGGUGUACAACCCCUCCUGUUUCCAAAAGAAAAGAGUCUGGCAGCAAUCGACGGCAGAACCAGUUGCUUGGUGAGCCUCAUGGAUGAUGCACACUUGUGGAGAGUGAGCAAUCAAGCAUGGUUCAAUCCUGAGGUAUCAUUGUGGUUGUGGCCUCAGUUGACCUUUGUUGACAGUGAGUGGCCUGGCAUGGCUAAGUGAAGCAAAACAAGUUCUUAUCAUAACUGAGCCCAGGAGAAACCAAGGGCAAGACUAAGUUAACCUGGCGAGGCUGAUGUCGAGGUCACACCAUGGAUGACGCAUCUCCGGCCUGAGCACGACAUGAUUGAGGCGUUAUCCAUGAUGUUGGGAUGGACUGCCCUGACUGCGAUAGUCGAACACGGUCUCGGUUGUCCACCGACACCGCGACACGGGUCGGUCUGUCGCUACUCAUCUUUUCUAUUUUCCUUUCUGAUUGCCUUGCCGUAAGCCAUGAAAGGAGUACCCACCCAUUCAUCUGAAUGGAGGUUUGGGAUCCGAAUUGGAUUGCGUGGCUGCGGUUUGUGAGUGAAUCAAUGGCUGGGGCUGGCAAUGGCAUGUCCAUCUUGUCAAUUUUGAGCCCAAGAAAUUGAAAAAUCUUCAGACACAGCACGUUGGCACAUGCAUA